AAACGCCAUUAAACCUCAGAAGAAGAAAAAGAAGACGCGGAAGAGGAAAAACAAUGAGGAAAGAGAAGGGCGAACAGCACGAAUGAGCGAUAGGCCUAUGCGUUUAAAAUAAGAAACAAAGAUGAAGAUUAUCCUCUGUAUUUUCCUGCUGAACAUUACAGCAGUGAGUGUGUUUGGCCAGUCUGUGGAGCUGCACGACAUUGUGGGACAGAGUGUGAAGUUCCCAGCUGAUGUGAAAAAGGAUGGAUUUUUGAUGUACGGCGGUGUCACCCUUGGAGACGUGACUAGCGGUAUCUUUAGGGCGUCCCUUAAUGGGAAUUACAGAGACAGAGUGCAGUGGGACAGCAGCACUGGACUCUUCUCCCUCUCUGGGCUGAAGAUGGAGGACAUUGGAGAUUAUAAAGUACAGAAUACAGACCAGAACAACAUAACCGUCUUCCAGCUGAAUGUGUACAUUCCUGUAUCAAAGCCCCAUGUCAGCAUCACUCAUAAUGAAUUCCCCUGCACUCUACUGUGUGCUGUGGAGAGAGGGAGAGGAGUGACCCUGUCCUGGUACAGAGAGGGUCAGAAAAAGCCCUACGUCUCCUCACGUGUGGCAAGUGCUCCACAUCUGCAUCUGCCUGUGCCUGUGGAGAGCGGUACAUACACCUGUGAGGCGAAGAACUCAGUCAGCAAAGAGACAUCAGACCCUCUCACUGUGGGGGCCCACUGCACAGAUUCCAGGACAUGGAUAAUAGUUGCCAGUGUUAUCGCUGCUGUUGCCGUCCUCAUUGCAGUUGUCUUUGCUUUUAUGUAUCACCGUAAGUAUCACUCGCGCUGCUUUGAACUCUGUCAGUAUUAAACACAGAUUUGCUCUAGAAACAGGAAGGAGCCACGUCUGAGUGCUGAUGGCCAAUAGGGUCGGAAUUUAUCCUGUCUGUGAAGCAGCUCCAUUUAACCCCUGUAGUCCAGAGUAGUGAACCCCCAAACUUCAGCACAGGGGCCCAGGGAGUCCUACACAUUAAUAUCACAACUGACAGGCAGUUUAGCACAGACAGGUUAGAACAUAUUAAUCUGUAAUAAUGUCUGGUCACAUGCACAGUACAUUGGUGUGCUGACAAAGGUGUCAUAAGGAGACCAGUUAGUAAAGGUGCUGUAAGGAGACAGGUUUGUAAGGGUGUUUUAGCAAGACAGGUUAGUAAUGGUGCCAUCGGGAGACAGGUUAGUAAAGGUGUUAUAAUGAGACAGGUUAGUAAAAGUGUUUUAGGGAGACAGGUUAGUAAGGGUGUUUUACAGAGACAGGUUAGUAAGGGUGUUUUAGGAAGACCGGUAGGAUGAUGGUGUUUCAGGGAGACAGGUUAGUAAGGGUGUUUUAGGGAGACAGGUUAGUGAGGGUGUUUUAGGGAGACAGGUAGGAUGAUGGUGUUUUAGGGAGACAGGUUAGUAAAGGUGUUUUAGGGAGACAGGUUAGUAAAGGUGUUUUAGGGAGACAGGUUAGUAAAGGUGUUUUAGGGAGACAGGUUAGUAAAGGUGUUUUAGGGAGACAGGUUAGUAAAGGUGUUUUAGGGAGACAGUUUAAUAAGGGUGUUUUAGGGAGACAGGUUAGUAAGGGUGUUUUAGAGACUGGUUAGUAGG